AGCUUGAGUGCUUAAAACCCAUAUGUAUGACUUCUGGCUACACUGGACAGCGUGGAUGUGGAGUUCUGUUGGACUGGACUGGUUGCCCAGGUAUAUCACCAACCAGAAAUUAUUGUGAAGUGGAAAACUGGAAAAGGAAGAUUGACGAAUGUGCAUGCCCUGUUGAAGAGCACUCUCCCAAAAGAAUGGCUCUUGGCUCCCUUUCUUCCACAUGGGACUUGUGACCAUGAAUGAUUAAGAAAUCCCAUGCUUUCUCCAAAUGAAGCUGGUUCUCUUCACGUCCUUAGAGCCUGAGUCAGGAUCAGCUGAAGGACUUUCCUAUAGAUUUCCCCUUAAUAGCCCUGAACACGAAGGGCCAGACUAGCCCGGAAAAGUUCAGAGUUCCAAAGGACUUGGGGAGAAAAGUCCAUUCUGGAUCACUGAUCUGAAGGCUACAGAUACCUAAAUCCAAACAAUUCUGCCAAACAGAACUCUGCUUUUGAUCCCUGAAUUUGAAUUUUGACUCAGAAAACUUGCCACUUUCAUUGACUUUCAAAGAGGAAGUACUUUUGUUUUCUGCUUUCCAAAGUGGGUUUGGUUGGUUUUUCUUUAGUGACAAAGCCCAUUGCAACAUGUUCCCAUUACUUGACAAGAAAGGAGAACAUAGAAAUGAGAGCAGAAGUUGGCCCCUCUUUACUCAUCAGCCUUGUGAUGAAGAUAUCACAUAAAGUGAGGGACCAUGAGGAAGAGAAUCCUCAUAAAAGUGAGGUAACUGAUAGAUCUGAUUGAAAUGCUAAAACAGCCCAACAACGAAGGCUACUCCGUACAUCUAGUGGGCACCUUAUUUCAUGUCUGAGGUAGGAUUGCUAAGCCCACUGAACCCACAAAGCAAAGCAAAUUCUUUAUCCAUUCAUCUAUCAUUAGACACUAGGCUGCUCCUAUAACUUGACCAUUGUAAAUUAUGCUGCAAUAAACACAGGGGUGCAUAUAUCCUCUC